rnacentral:rRNA from 1 species
GAUGAACGCUGGCGGCGUGCCUAAUACAUGCAAGUCGAGCGAACAGACGAGGAGCUUGCUCCUCUGACGUUAGCGGCGGACGGGUGAGUAACACGUGGAUAACCUACCUAUAAGACUGGGAUAACUUCGGGAAACCGGAGCUAAUACCGGAUAAUAUAUUGAACCGCAUGGUUCAAUAGUGAAAGACGGUUUUGCUGUCACUUAUAGAUGUAUCCGCGCCGCAUUAGCUAGUUGGUAAGGUAACGGCUUACCAAGGCGACGAUGCGUAUCCGACCUGAGAGGGUGAUCGGCCACACUGGAACUGAGACACGGUCCAGACUCCUACGGGAGGCAGCAGUAGGGAAUCUUCCGCAAUGGGCGAAAGCCUGACGGAGCAACGCCGCGUGAGUGAUGAAGGUCUUCGGAUCGUAAAACUCUGUUAUUAGGGAAGAACAAAUGUGUAAGUAACUAUGCACGUCUUGACGGUACCUAAUCAGAAAGCCACGGCUAACUACGUG